rnacentral:rRNA from 1 species
GCAUGGUUGUCGUCAGCUCGUGUCGUGAGAUGUUGGGUUAAGUCCCGCAACGAGCGCAACCCUUAUUGUUAGUUGCCAUCAUUCAGUUGGGCACUCUAGCAAGACUGCCGGUGACAAACCGGAGGAAGGUGGGGAUGACGUCAAAUCAUCAUGCCCCUUAUGACCUGGGCUACACACGUGCUACAAUGGGAAGUACAACGAGUUGCGAAGUCGCGAGGCUAAGCUAAUCUCUUAAAGCUUCUCUCAGUUCGGAUUGCAGGCUGCAACUCGCCUGCAUGAAGCCGGAAUCGCUAGUAAUCGCGGAUCAGCACGCCGCGGUGAAUACGUUCCCGGGCCUUGUACACACCGCCCGUCACACCACGAGAGUUUGUAACACCCGAAGUCGGUGAGGUAACCUUUUUGGAGCCAGCCGCCUAAGGUGGGAUAGAUGAUUGGGGUGAAGUCGUAACAAGGUAGCCGUAUCGGAAGGUGCGGCUGGAUCACCUCCUUUCUAAGGAA